UACAGAGGGUGCAAGCGUUGUCCGGAAUUACUGGGCGUAAAGGGCGCGUAGGCGGCUUAUCAAGUCAGGCGUGAAAUUCCCGGGCUCAACCUGGGGGCUGCGCUUGAUACUGAUGAGCUUGAAUGCGGGAGAGGAUAGUGGAAUUCCCAGUGUAGAGGUGAAAUUCGUAGAUAUUGGGAAGAACACCGGUGGCGAAGGCGGCUAUCUGGCCCGUAAUUGACGCUGAGGCGCGAAAGCGUGGGGAGCAAACAGG
rnacentral:rRNA from 1 species